rnacentral:rRNA from 1 species
GUAGGUGGCAAGCGUUGUCCGGAAUUAUUGGGCGUAAAGCGCGCGCAGGCGGUCCUUUAAGUCUGAUGUGAAAGCCCACGGCUCAACCGUGGAGGGUCAUUGGAAACUGGGGGACUUGAGUACAGAAGAGGAAAGCGGAAUUCCAAGUGUAGCGGUGAAAUGCGUAGAGAUUUGGAGGAACACCAGUGGCGAAGGCGGCUUUCUGGUCUGUAACUGACGCUGAGGCGCGAAAGCGUGGGGAGCAAACAGGAUUAGAUACCCUGGUAGUCCACGCCGUAAACGAUGAGUGCUAAGUGUUAGGGGGUCUCCGCCCCUUAGUGCUGCAGCUAACGCAUUAAGCACUCCGCCUGGGGAUACGGCCGCAAGGCUG